UCUCUCGUUCUCUUCUCUUAUUAGGGUUCAACUUCUUCUUCUUGGUUUGAGGUCCAAUAAUCAUCGAUCUUUGUACACACAGGGUGAUGAUGAUGAUAACGAUUAUCAGAAAUCCUUCUCUUCUUUUAUCUUUCUUAUCUGAAUCUGAUUCAACUUGUCUCUCGUUCUCUUCUCUAUUACGAGAAACUUUAUUGGCCAAAUGAUUGUAUUCUUUAAAACUCGUACCAAAACUCCAGUAGCCAACAGUUGAGAUGAAGAACUAAUGAACUAGAAGAAGACUUCCCGAACUUCUAAAAGAUUGUGGGAUGUAAGGAGUGGGAAGAUUAUGCACACAAUAGAAACUAGUUCACCUGUGAAAAGUACUGAAGUUAGUCAGGAUGGUCGUUAUAUCACCACCUAAGACGGUUCCACUGUUAAAUUUUGGGAUGAAAAUCAUUUUGGACUAGUGAAGACCUAUGACAUGUCAUGCACUUUGGAAUUGGCUUUAGUAGAACCGAAGCAUGGAAAUAAGUUUGUAGCUGCUGGAGAAGACAUCUGGAUACGAUUGUUUGAUUUCCAUACAGGCGAUGAGGUUGGUGAGUAGUAGAGUAUUUAACAAUUUAUGCAUCAAAAGUCUAUUAUACCUCCAUAUAACUGAUCAUGUGUCACAUCCUACUAUAUUUAAUGAGUAGUUCAAUAUGUGCUGAAGCAUUUUUGGUUGUAUCCUUUAUACAAAGCACUGGCUUUUGCACGCUCUGCAUUUCUUUAAGUGCUGGAAAAUUGAGUGUUUCUGACAGGCUUAAAAAUUGUGAAAUGGAUGCUAAUGAAGGGGUACUUCUCUUAAGUGGAGGAAGGGCCAGUUGUUUUUAAUCUGUGAUUAAUUCAUUUAUCAUUGUUUGAUAAACAGAAGUUGGUCUUUCACGGGUGUGCAACUGACUCAUUUGUUUAACUUGUAUUUAUUGUUUUGGUCUAACCAUUCACCGCACAUCUUUUUUUUACUUGAUAUGUGGUGAAGAUUUGGGAGGUUGGCACAGGGGAACUAGUCAAACAAUACGUUGGAGCUACACACAAACAAUUGUGUCACCAGGUUAUUUGAUUUCUCAAAAACAGUGGAGAAGAGAGCUUAUCGAGUUAUUCAGGAUACUCACAAUGUGAGAUCUUUAUCUUUUCAUCCAUCAGGGGAAUUAUUUUAGAAGCUAUUGUAUUAUGCAACUCAUUGUGGUGCCUGAGAACCAGUUGCAUCUGUACUUCAAGAUGAGGGAAGUGGAAGAUGAUGACAAAGAUGAAGAAAGGCCUUUCAACUUGACCCUGAUGAUUAUGAAGCAAGAUGCAAAAGAUAUGUGGUUGGAGGAUCACCAAUUUAUAAAGUUGAUAGGCUACUUGCUUGCUGGGUUGUUAAUCAAAUGUGGAAUGCUUAACCUUGUUGAUCUUGCUGGGUUUGAGAACAUUCGACGUUCUGGUGCAGGAGAGGCUAUGACGGAGAAAAUAUAGUGUAUGGAGCUUAAUUCAGAAUCCAAGGACAAGGUACUACUACAGUUGCCAGUAAUUGAAACAAGAUGUAAUAUGUGCUAACAUGAUGCAAGAACAUAUAACAUCCUUAAGUAGAGUUUAACUACCAGUAAUUGAUGUAGAUUUUUUCUCACCAAUUAUUGAUAUGUACUGAACAACAGUUGGAAGGGCUCCAGGAACUUCAUAAUGCUCAGUUAUUGUUGACAGCAGAGUUGAGUGAAAACCUCGAAAAGACUCGGGUAAUUUUUGAGUCGUUGCAAAAAUUUGCAACAUCGAGUUUCGUAGAAGAGCUAAACUGUUGCGACCCCACUUUGCAAUUGCUAGUUACCGUUGCUAAUCACUAAAUUUGGUGUAGUGAAUUUAGCUAUAUCAAGAGAGAUGCUUAUGAAGCUGCUCACUCUCUAAAAUUCUCUUUUAAACACCGUUUAGUGAAUGAUGGUUAUCCUAAUCCUCCUUGUAUUGUUGUUAUCUGUAGCAAAGAGAGCAACACUUAUGUAGGCUAGUUUUUUUGGGUUUGUUUUGCUUGUUUCUUGCUGGCAAGCUAAAACGAUUAAUAAAACUUCUAUU